AAUCACUCGUCUUUUAAAUGAAGACCUGUAUGAAUGGCUUAACGAGGGCUUAACUGUCUCCUCUUUCAAAUCAAUGAAAUUGAUCUCCCCGUGCAGAAGCGGGGAUAUAUCCAUAAGACGAGAAGACCCUGUGGAGCUUUAGACAUAAGACGAAACCACGUUCAGCACCUCUAAAUAAAGAACAAAACUCUGUGGGCCCCUUCCGUCUGAAUGUCUUUGGUUGGGGCGACCGCGGGGUAAUAAACAACCCCCAAGAGGACAGGGAGCAAUGCUCCUACAACCAAGAAUUGCAAUUCUAAUUAACAGAAUUUCUGACCAUUUGAUCCGGCACGCCGAUCAACGGACCGAGUUACCCCAGGGAUAACAGCGCAAUCCCCUUAUAGAGACCC
rnacentral:rRNA from 1 species